rnacentral:tRNA from 1 species
UCGGGAUAGCUCACCUGGUAAAGCAGAGGACUGAAAAUC